rnacentral:tRNA from 1 species
GCCCUUGUAGCUCAGUCGGUAGAGCAGCGGUUUUGUAAACCGAAGGUCGCGGGUUCAAAUCCUGCCGGGGGCACCA